GCUUGUAUGGCGAAAUUGGUAUACGCGCACGACUUAAAAUCGUGUCCUACGGGGUGUUGGUUCAAGUCCAGCUAUAAGCA
rnacentral:tRNA from 1 species